UGCGUAGGUGGUGGAGUAAGUUCGAUGUGAAAGCUCCGAGCUCAACUCGGAAAUGGCAUUGAAAACUACUCUGCUCGAGGAUUGGGAGGGGGGGACUGGAAUUCUCGGUGUAGCAGUGAAAUGCGUAGAUAUCGAGAGGAACACCAGUGGCGAAGGCGAGUCCCUGGACAAUUCCUGACACUGAGGCACGAAAGCUAGGGGAGCAAACA
rnacentral:rRNA from 1 species